UAACGGGGGUGCUAUACAUGCAAGUCGAGCGAAUGGAUUAAGAGCUUGCUCUUAUGAAGUUAGCGGCGGACGGGUGAGUAACACGUGGGUAACCUGCCCAUAAGACUGGGAUAACUCCGGGAAACCGGGGCUAAUACCGGAUAACAUUUUGAACCGCAUGGUUCGAAAUUGAAAGGCGGCUUCGGCUGUCACUUAUGGAUGGACCCGCGUCGCAUUAGCUAGUUGGUGAGGUAACGGCUCACCAAGGCAACGAUGCGUAGCCGACCUGAGAGGGUGAUCGGCCACACUGGGACUGAGACACGGCCCAGACUCCUACGGGAGGCAGCAGUAGGGAAUCUUCCGCAAUGGACGAAAGUCUGACGGAGCAACGCCGCGUGAGUGAUGAAGGCUUUCGGGUCGUAAAACUCUGUUGUUAGGGAAGAACAAGUGCUAGUUGAAUAAGCUGGCACCUUGACGGUACCUAACCAGAAAGCCACGGCUAACUACGUGCCAGCAGCCGCGGUAAUACGUAGGUGGCAAGCGUUAUCCGGAAUUAUUGGGCGUAAAGCGCGCGCAGGUGGUUUCUUAAGUCUGAUGUGAAAGCCCACGGCUCAACCGUGGAGGGUCAUUGGAAACUGGGAGACUUGAGUGCAGAAGAGGAAAGUGGAAUUCCAUGUGUAGCGGUGAAAUGCGUAGAGAUAUGGAGGAACACCAGUGGCGAAGGCGACUUUCUGGUCUGUAACUGACACUGAGGCGCGAAAGCGUGCCACC
rnacentral:rRNA from 1 species